AGAGUUUGAUCCUGGCUCAGGAUGAACGCUGGCGGCGUGCCUAACACAUGCAAGUCGAACGGAGCUGCUUUGAUGAAGUUUUCGGAUGGAUUUAAAAACAGCUUAGUGGCGGACGGGUGAGUAACGCGUGGGUAACCUGCCUCACACUGGGGGGAUAACAGUUAGAAAUAGCUGCUAAUACCGCAUAAGCGCACAGUUCCGCAUGGAACAGUGUGAAAAACUCCGGUGGUGUGAGAUGGACCCGCGU
rnacentral:rRNA from 1 species